CCUACGGGAGGCAGCAGUGGGGAAUCUUCCGCAAUGGACGAAAGUCUGACGGAGCAACGCCGCGUGAGUGAAGAAGGCCUUCGGGUUGUAAAGCUCUGUCUUUGGGGACGAAUGUGCCUGUCAUAAAUAAUGACAGGCAAUGACGGUACCCGAGGAGGAAGCCACGGCUAACUACGUGCCAGCAGCCGCGGUAAUACGUAGGUGGCAAGCGUUGUCCGGAAUUAUUGGGCGUAAAGCGCGCGCAGGCGGGAUAUCAAGUCUAUCUUAAAAGUGCGGGGCUCAACCCCGUGAGGGGAUAGAAACUGGUAUUCUUGAGUAUCGGAGAGGAAAGUGGAAUUCCCAGUGUAGCGGUGAAAUGCGUAGAUAUUGGGAGGAACACCAGUGGCGAAGGCGACUUUCUGGACGAUGUCUGACGCUGAGGCGCGAAAGCCAGGGAAGUGAACGGGAUUAGAUACCCCGGUAAUCCUGGCCGUAAACGAUGGGUACUAGGUGUAGAGGGUAUCGACCCCUUCUGUGCCGGAGUUAACGCAAUAAGUACCCCGCCUGGGGAGUACGGCCGCAAGGUUGAAACUCAAAGGAAUGACGGAAUCUCGACUGCAGGAUACUGCCU
rnacentral:rRNA from 2 species